UUAAUAGUUUAUGAGACUUCUUUCCUAUCUUUUUUUUAUUUUUAGACCUCUGCAUAUUUUAAACAGAUCUUUUUCUGAAGACUGUCUUUGGAGUUUGACCUCUUGAUGGUAUGCUUUAUCAGGUUGCUGUCUUGUGUUGAUGUUUAUCAACAUCUUUUUUAUUAUUACAUUUGAAGUUUUAGCACAAACACAUGGUAAAACUGACAAGACUAAAAUACAUCUACUUAAAGAUCUUUAUAUUACAUGUACUAAGUCUGCAUAUAAGGUCACAAACUUCGAAUUUGUCAUACUGUGUAUAUUUUGGAUGUUAUAAGUUUGUAUAAAUGGUGUUCAUCCUACAAAUCAUUUUAUUCCUUCAGUUGAAUGCAUACAACAAAAGUACAUUUCCAGUGAACAUGAUACCCUUAUCAAAGAUAUCAGUUCUUUAUUUGAAUGAAAAACCCCUAGGGUGGUUGGGGAAUAGAAAUAUGGUCAAUUGGUUUUCUUCCUACGGACACACUUACAAAAGUGUUUGGUGGUUCAGGAUUUUUGAGGGGUCGAUGUGGCCUGAUGCAAGGUUAAAUACACAAGUCCUGAUCCACCUUACCCUGGUUUUCAAAUUUCCUGGCAACCCUGUUUACAGGACUUAACUAUUGUAUUUAUUCUUAAUAUGUUCUUGUCCUAAUCAUGCAUGAAAUAUUUUCCACUAGACAAAAAUCAAUCAAAUUUAGGAGUACAUGCAUUCACUUCAUGUAAUCAGAUCUUUUUUACUUCAUUU
rnacentral:lncRNA from 1 species